ACGGAGGCCUUUUUCCAUAAUCUUGAUCUAUACCUGCACAUGCUGACUCCUCCUGCCGCCUCAAUGUACAAUUUCCUUUGGCAGGUCCUGGAAUUACCGCUAAUAGCAUUGGUUAUUUUUAACACACACGUCGUUUGUUAUUUUGCUAUGCAAACUGUUGGUCCUAGCAUCAAUUUGCAUGAUGCUUCAUCUACUAAUUGUCCAGGAAUAAUGUCAAUAUAUUGGUGCAUGAUGCAUCUUUGGUAAUCAUGGUUUACCAAAUAUUAAAUUUAACCCGAGCGAGCCAGUUUAUCUGCGUUACUGACUGUUUCAGAUUUUUCAAGUUACUAAUUCUCUCAUAUUUAUGAAUAGUGGUGUCGACGCGGAAGUUGAUUGAUGUCGGUUCCCAACGUCCGGAGGGCCUGAUGGAGCUGGAGGACCUUGGUGUACAGUACUUGGAGAGCUUCUCCGCCUCUGUACAUCCUCCAUCUGAUCCUAAAGUAAUCAUGCCUUCUGCCACACAUUUCUGUGCCCUAGAAAACGUCUUUGCCUUAUAUCGUCUCCCUCACUUCAUCAUCGUCAAUGGUAGUGCGAGAAGAUCAUGAUAAGAAAAAUUCAUAGUAAAUCAGGAUGAACUCACUUAUUGGUAAUUUGGGAUUACACGCAUCUACAGAGCAAGAGCAUGGAUAUAAAAAUGGGUUGGAGAUGGAAUUGAUCUACUCCAGUGCAGGUUACUUGA